CGUGGCCCUGCAGGCUGAGCUCGCCCUGACUGACACUGGAGGUCCUGGGCUCCGUGACAGACCCGGCCCUGGAGGACGUCCUGGAGCAGCCCCUCCGCACACUGGCGCACAUCCACGCCCAGCUGCGGGCCUGUGUCCUGGCUCAGCCCACAGCAGCCCCCAGGAUCUACAGCCACCCCCUGUUCCGAUGGCUGCAGAGGCUCAACCAGGCCACCAAGAAGGAGUCCCCUAUCUGCCUCCAGACCUCUGUCACCUUCGGCCUCUUCCGCCUGCUCAUCCGGGACCUGAGAUGUGUGGCCAGGCCGGAGCUGUGUGCCUGAGAAUGUGCGCUGCCUCUGCCUCCUGAGGCCCCACACUAUUUAUGCACUAACCCUUGCCCCGACUCAAGUCACUUGCUCUCCCUCCUUGUUUAUGGAGC